rnacentral:rRNA from 1 species
AGUUCCGGCACCGGGAUUUGGCCAAAGGCUUCGGCCGGUAAGGGAUGGGCAUGCGUAGGAUUAGCUUGUUGGCGGUGUAACGGACCACCAAGGCGACGAUCCUUAGGGGUUCUGAGAGGAAGGUCCCCCACACUGGCACUGAGAUACGGGCCAGACUCCUACGGGAGGCAGCAGUAGGGAAUAUUGGGCAAUGGGCGGUAGCCUGACCCAGCCAUGCCGCGUGCAGGAAGACGGCGUUCUGCGUUGUAAACUGCUUUUAUACGGGAAGAAAAGGCCCAUGCGUGGGACAUUGCCGGUCCGUAUGAAUAAGCACCGGCUAACUCCGUGCCACCAGCCGCGGUAAUACGGAGGGGGCAAGCGUUGUCCGGAUUUAUUGGGUUUAAAGGGUGCGUAGGGCGGCUUGUUAAGUCAGCGGUGAAAGUCUGUGGCUCAACCAUGGAAUUGCCGUUGAUACUGGCGGGCUUGAGUGCGAUGGGGUACAUGGGAAUUUAUGGUGUAGCGGUGAAAUGCAUAGAUA